GCUGGAUUGUGCCUGAAAUGGGUCAGAUUAAAACGACACGAACCGGCUGACUCUUGCUGGAGAUGGGGACCUUUCUGAAGAGCGAGAAGCCCUUUUUUUUUCUUCCUCUUCCCGACUAAACGACUUGUGGCGACACGCGAAAGAGACUCUUCUUCUUCUUCUCCCUCUUUUCUCCUCGCGAGAAGAAGAACCCGAGAACACCUUUUUCUCUCCUGCUCUGCGGCGGCCGUGAGUCCGCGGGGGAGGCAGCGCGCGCGCCUUGUGCUCCGAGGGCGUUGAUCGUGGAGCUGCGCUCGAGUUUAAUGGAAGAUACGACGAUGCUCUCCGCAGUGGGAUGUAAGACCUCAGGAGAAAUAGUGCUGCUUUCUUCUGUUUCCGCUGUAAACGCGGCUGGUGGCUCUGACGGCGUGGGCCGUGUCCGGUGAUGGGAACAUCCGCCUCCGGCCGUGUUUUCUCUCCGUCACCGUCUCUUGGUGACGGUGUGAGAUAUUGUACCUCGCAGCACCGGAGCCCAGUGGCGCUCGGCUGGGCUGCGUCGUUCCGUGAAACACAAAGUAGGCCGGAUCGGCGCUCACAGUCCGCACACCGACGACGUCUGCGGCGAUUUAGUUCGACGUAGUCAACGCGCGGGGAUCCAAACCGGAUUUGGCGCCACCUGCAGGCGUCUCCGUGGCAACGCAGGUCCGGAGGCGGGUCGGUGAAGGCCGAGGGUCUCCACGCGGUGAUGAAACCCACCCAAAGCUUUUGGUCUUCACUCAAGUAGGAAAGAGCGUCAGAUAAACUAUAAAUAGGAGAAGAUAGAACAGUUUAAUCCUUCCGACUUUCAUGGAACCUUUUCAUUCGUCGUCGUAUCUGAUCCGAUACAUUAAGCUACAUUUGGUCCCUAAAAUAAAAGAACAUUUGAAAAACUAAAUACAAAUAAUGUAAAUAUGUAAAAUGCCUGAGGUCACGUGGUCCAAUCCAAACAUCUAAACGUUUACUGGCUUCGCUACAGCAGGAAGCAGGAAGGGAACGUGGUUGUGUUCUUUUGUCUGUUUGAAAAAUGUUUUGUGACGUUGACAACAAAUAAAAGUCUGAGCUGCACAGUUUUCUGCUUGUGGUUUUCUUGUGGUUGUUUUAAGCGUAGCUCAUUCCGACACGCUCACAUUCACUGCGCCCAACGGGACGCGUCGGACAAACUGUAGAGUGUAGAUGUCGUCCGAUUAUUUAGAGAAAAGGAAGAACUCUUUUUGAAGUGUUCUCGCAUGAGACCACUUCACUUCCCUCCAGCAGCACCACGGAGAGCUCCUGGGAAGCAACACAAAGAACACGUGGAAGGAAUGAUUUUUGUAGUGCGUGAAGCAGAAAGCAUUUGGUGAUCAUGAAAAGAAUGUACAUGGACUUAAACCAUUUUAAAAAACUGAUAAAACGCCUAUUUUUCACUCCAUUUUCUGUUCCAACACACUAAAUACCGUAGACUUCCAUCCCAG
ensembl:lncRNA